AUGUUUAAAUUCCUCUGUUCUAACGCGGGACCCAAACUGUGAUUGAAAAUUAUUCAAUGGAUCGUCGAGUGGUGUAACAGUUUCGAAUAUUUUCAUUGUCCUGUUGUUAAAACUCUCGAUCCUUUUUCUUUUCAAUUUUGCGGGUGAAAUCUGGCGAAAAAAUGUGAAUUUCGUUGGACUGUCCCUCAAUAAUCGCGACCAAGGAGCUUCGCCCGUGAUUAAACGAUUAAAUACAGGGAUUAUCACAAAGUCAGGAGUGGGGAUUUUAAACACAGAUGACAACAGUAUUCAUGUUUAUACCAAGAUAGUGAACGAGAUUUGGUGGAAUUAUGACCAAAAAUUAAUUAUUUGAGGGGGAAUAAAUUCGCUGACGCAUUACAGAGGAACGGCAGUUGUUUGUUUCAAAACGGUCAACAAUUUUUUGGAUGGAAUUUAACAACAUUCACAAGUUGGCCCUACAGAAACCCUGUCGGACGUUGAAACAUCGGUGUAGAUCGAUUUUUAGGGGAUAAUUUUUUUUAAUUUAAUAAGUGGAAUUGAACCCGCAUCAGUGAAUGAUGGGUAUGGAUAAAUUAAAGUGGAACUUCCACAGUCUAGAGCAGCUUCACUAUGCCGUAAACUCUACACUCCGAUAUGCCAUGCAAAACGAGAGAUGUAAGCGAUGGAGCAAGGUGAUAGAGACAUACAACCUGCUGCUGUGGAUGAUUGACCUCAAGAACCUGCCCGACGACUACGAACCCCCGUCCAUGUAUAACAUGCUGCUCUAUGAGACGUACUACCACGUGGGAGUCGCAUACCAGCACGUGGGUGACCAUAGGAAAGCUUCCGAGGCGUAUACAAACGCCAUCAACACUGUGUCUAUACCCAAGAAUGGCUGUUUGGCUGGCUGCGUCAUCAACUCCUGUCUGAUGACGCCACUGUACGCCAGGAGGGCUUUUACUUACAUACGACUAGGUGAAAUAAAAAGUGCCUUAAAAGACGCCGAAAAAGCAGUCGUUCUAGACAGCAAAAAUCCGGACGUGUAUUGUAUUCGCGCACUCACAAAGAGUUCUUCUGAUAAUGAAGGGGCGGCAAUUAAGGAUGUCGAGCUUGCACUGAAACUGAAGCAAGGGCACAUGUGUUCAUUGAUGUUACGUUCGGCGCUAACCAAGCCCCUGUGCUCUGCAUUUUAAAGUGCAUCUUUGAAGAAAAACAAAGAUUCUAGAGAGCAGAUCAAAUUGUUUCAAGCUCAAGACUUGACAUAAAAAGAAGAGCUUGGUAGAUUUACCAGUAUUCAGUUAGGGAAGAAAGGAACAUGUAGUGUAAAAAGGAGCUUCAGCAGAUUCGAAUGCUGAGACAGAGAGCUGUGCAACGGUCACUAACUUCCGUCAUCCGCGCAUAAUGGAAUUCUAUGAUAAAUAUUUGUUUACCCUAUGUGUACCCCACACGAUAGUUCAGAUAAAUCUGACACCAGACAAACCCAACAAAAAACAACAAACAGAGGCACAAAAGGAAGGAACACACGGCAAUCUGAAACAGAGACCUGCUUCCGCCCCGGACAGUAUCUCGGUGGAACCGUUCAAGUGUGGAACCUCCUGUAAAGAAUUUGAUAAGAUGGUUACAAGAAGGCGAAAGGAUUAUGGAGAGGCAAUCCGGAAACAUAUAAGUCGACCAAAGACCGCAACGUCAUUUUUUGAACAAUUACAACGUGAAAGGAGAAAGCAAGCAGACGUGCAGGAAAUGGAAAGGCGACGGGCUGUUUCUGCAGGCGUGAAACGUCUUAAUGAAAUGGCACUAGUUUCCGGAACUGCGCACGCAGAUUCACACGCAAAAUUAAACAAUCGAAUACAAUCGGCGCCCGUAAUACGUCAUAUGAAAACAACAUCCACAACGAUACACAUUUUAGACAACUCUAAACCUCCAAGGCCGGUCAAACCUCAAAGGGAAAGUGAAAAUAAAGAGAACAUUAGGAGUUCCUCUAAUGUCAGUAGUGCAAAAGAUUCCGAGUUACGCAGAAACAAGUCGGUGUCAAUGAAAGAAAAAGACGAGAGAGUUCAAAGAAUUCCCUCAUCAACUAAAUUUACCUUUCCAACACCUGUUAAUUACUCUACACCGGUCUUUCAACCACUGAACAUCAAAGAUGCACCUCGAAUGUACUACAAACCAUGGAAGGGCGACAAACUCCCGGUCGCCGAGGUCAAUCGACAUGUACUCGCGCCAUGUUGGAAGUAAAGCGUGCCACGUUAUAGUGUCAUGUGUAUUACGUAUUUUGUUAAUUUAUUUCUAAUUAUAUGAAGUUGCAAAUAAAUACACCUAGCUCAG
rnacentral:misc_RNA from 1 species